GACGAACGCUGGCGGCGUGCUUAACACAUGCAAGUCGAACGGAGAGGCCCUGCUUUUGUGGGGUGCUCGAGUGGCGAACGGGUGAGUAACACGUGAGUAACCUGCCCUUGACUUUGGGAUAACUUCAGGAAACUGGGGCUAAUACCGGAUAGGAGCUCCUGCUGCAUGGUGGGGGUUGGAAAGUUUCGGCGGUUGGGGAUGGACUCGCGGCUUAUCAGCUUGUUGGUGGGGUAGUGGCUUACCAAGGCUUUGACGGGUAGCCGGCCUGAGAGGGUGACCGGCCACAUUGGGACUGCGAUACGGCCCAGACUCCUACGGGAGGCAGCAGUGGGGAAUAUUGCACAAUGGGCGGAAGCCUGAUGCAGCAACGCCGCGUGCGGGAUGACGGCCUUCGGGUUGUAAACCGCUUUCGCCUGUGACGAAGCGUGAGUGACGGUAAUGGGUAAAGAAGCACCGGCUAACUACGUG
rnacentral:rRNA from 1 species